rnacentral:tRNA from 1 species
CAGAAAGUAGUUUAAUAAAAAUAUUAGUUUUGGGGACUUAAGUUGGGAGGUAUCUCUUCUUUCUGA